CUUAGGUUUUUAAGAUAGGGUUCUUGUUGGUUUUUAAGGAUAGAACCCACUUUCUUAUUAUCUGUUCUUCUUAGCCUUGUUCUUUAAAACAAUAAAAGUCAACGUGUAAUACAAUCAAAAUACAAUCAGUAUCUAAACCAAAAAUUAGUAGGAGCGUAUCAGCUAAUAAAUGGAAAGUAUUUGACCCGAACCGUGUAUAACGGCUAGAUUAUCACCGAACCUAAGGUUUGUGUUUGCUCUGGACUAUAACAAACCCUAAGUGAAAAGGAAAAAAGGAAACUUGAAUGUCAAACAAAUAAAUUUAUAUACCUGCGUCUCGCGUCUCCUCUCAAGUUAAAAACACAAUUGCUCUGCAUUUUUUUCAAUUCUCUUCUUCGAUUUCUGUCUGCUUCGUUUGCCUCUCUGUUCUCUUCUUCUUCCUUUUUGAGAUUUCAUUAUUCAUGUGUUGUUGCAUCUGCUUGUUGGAUUCACCCUAAUCUUUGGUGUGAUUCGUUGGUCUGGCCUAAGAACGACUCAUAUAUACAACGGCUCUCUCUGUUCACUUAAAAAGCAACGAAGAAGACGAGAGAGAUCACACACACAAGCCUCACGUCUUAAUUUGUUUGCCUGCGAUGAUAAGAUCUAUCAUCCACCGUAGAAACAGAGACAGAGAGAGAGAUAGACGAUUCGAAGGACAUGUUGCCGGGAUUUUAGGCUUCGAGAGUCAUGAUGUUGGAGGUUCUAUCCGGCGAUGGGGGUGUCGAUAGAUUGAGGAGGUGGAGCGAUCAGAGGAUUUUAGGCUUCGGGAGUCAUGAUGGUGGAGCAAUCAUCGGAGAUUGGCGAUGGAGAUGGCGAUAGAUUGAGGAGGUGGAGCGUAUUUUCCGUUAACGGAUAAAGAUGGCAUGUGCUCUCAGAGGCCCAAUAGAAACAAUUCCAGCCCAUCAAACAAUGACUAGCCCAUUGCCAGGUUAAUUCUCAGCCCAUUUUCUUGUUUAAUUAAGAAAUUAAUAUAUUUUAUAAUUUUGAUUAAAGGGGUUUUCUUCUCACGGAUUUUUUGAAGUUUUUUUUUGCAAUUUUUCUUCAAUUUUUUCUUUAAAUUAAUUUUUAUUCAAUUUUGUUAAAAGUUAAUUUUUCAUAUUUUUAGAUAAAAAUUUAUUUUUUAUAUAUACAUAAUAUUUUUGGUUUUAAGUGUUAGAGUUUAAUAUGUGUAAAAUAAUUGGACACAACAUCCCGUCCAUAGUAUGAGGUCCUUAAGCGGUGUCCUAGGUUCAUUAUCUUUUUCCACAUAUUAAAUUUUAACAUUUUUCUAUUUAAAAAUAUUUUUAUUUUUAUUUUUAUAACUAUUUAAAAUUUAAGGUUUUAAUUUUAUUUUUAAGUAAUAUUUUAGACAAAAUAUUUUUUUUUUUUAAAUAUACAUAAUAUUUUUGUUUAAGUGUUAAAGUUUAUUAUGUGUAAGAUAAUUGGACACAACAUUCCGUCCAUAGUAUGAAAUCGGUGUCUUAGGUUCAAUAUCUUUUGUACAUAUUUUGUUUUAAAGAACGAGGAUAAGGAAACCUCUUGUCUAAUAUGAGUUUUGUGUUGUUUCACUGGUUCUCGAAUAGAAUAACUGAAAAGAUUUAUAGUUGAAAAAACUUAUUCGGUAUAAUGCUUGCUUAUAUAACAGACUCAAAAUCGAUAUGUAAAACUUUAAUAAUUUGUUGAAUUGGUUUCUUGAGGUCGAAGGCAACACAAGAG
rnacentral:lncRNA from 1 species